AUUUGACCAUAUAUGGAGAUUUGGGGGCGUUGCUUUAUGUAAAUGAGUGUGGCCGUGCACAGUGUUGUGUUUAUUAAGGAGCAUUAAGCACAGCUGUGCUUUCGCACGUGCCAUAAACGCGCGGUUUUUACUGCGUCCUAGAGCGCUUUUGGGAGAGAGAAGCUAAAAGUGCACUGGAUAAACCAGAUGGACUGUUGAGUCGCUAAUCACUUUCAGCAGAGUCUCCUGCUCUUCUUCAAACACCGCACAAAAGGGUCACAGGAAGUGCCCCUCUUUCCCAACCCCACUGAGCAUGUGUGAACAGCAACGACUCAUCCUGCAGGAAACAGGAAGUGUGCUCACACACCCUCUUCAUGCCUGACACGGUGCUGUGAUUCUUAUUCACAUAACAGCUCCGGUCCCCACAAGGGUGAAAUCAGAUCAGGAGUGGGAGAGAUGGACAGAGAGAGACGGGGGGAAAUGCAAAAAAUGUCCUCACAUUUCACAUUUCUGCUGAUCAUCCAUCAUUUUUGUGAGCCUGAACCUCAGACUGCUAACCAUGAAAGAGGAACCAGCGUUGCCUGAGGAGAUAACUGUCACCGGCACUGUGGAGCAGCUUUUUUAAGUCCAAAGUCCUUAUUGUCCUCUGAAAAAGGAAAGUGGUGG